rnacentral:lncRNA from 1 species
CGUCCGCGCCCGCCUCUCGGGGCGGCUCCUCAGGGCGGCCCGCCCCCGGUGUCCUCUGUCCCCGGCGUCCUGUGGCCUCGGUGUCCUCUGUCCCCGGUGUCCUGAGCCCCGAGUGUCCUAUGCCAUGUGCAUCCUUUAUCCCUGCUGUUCCAUGCCCCGAGUAUCCUGAGCCCUGGGUGUCCCCUUCCUUGUCUUCCCUGUGCCUGUCCCCUCUCAAUUUUAUCAUUAGAAUGUUAAAACGAAUUUGAUUUUUCCUUCUACACCUCAUCCCAUCCCUGGACUGCUUCGGUUUGCUAUUGUCAACCAUGUCACAACCUUCUAGAAAUUACUGUGUGUUGCUUUUCAGUGCCUUCAUUAAAAUGCAUCCCUGCCAGGGAGCUCUUUAUCUGUAUUAUACAUAUUAAUAAGGCUGGGUAGCAAUAAUUAAGGGAUGACUAACAUGUUCGUGAGUGAAAGUAUCCAGCAUGGGCUGGAAUUCAUAGGUAAAUAAGUUUUAUAUGUUAUUAAAAUUUGGGGAUGGCUGUUGCUCAUUUCAGUUCUUCCCUCUUUCCCUGGUGUAGCCAGAACUCUUCUCCCAACACUUUGAGAAACUUGUGAAGAGCUGAAGAGGAGACUGUGUCACUGUGCAGCAUUACAGAGAUCUUUUGCAUUUCCUGUGGGUUAUCAUGUGAAUUCUUGUGCUCUCUGUGGUGCAGGUGAUAAUGGAGAAGGAUGGAGUGGUGACAGAAAUCCAUGUAGAGCAGAAUACAUUAUUUGAAGAAGUCUGAGUUUCAGAGAGUUGGUGGCUGUGCUCAGCUUCCUGGAGGAGGAAUUGCAGAUGCAAACACUUGGAUGUUUUCCAGUAGAUAGCAUCAGUGGUCACAGGCAGAAUUUGCUGUAUGUAACAGAAGGUUUUCGCUCAGGCUUAAAAGAGGAAUUUAAUUGCAUUCUCAUGAAAGUUAAAUGCUGUUUGCUCAGAUUAAAGGAGGAAGAAACACUCUUCACAUUUCAGCCCCCACACUUCUGA